rnacentral:rRNA from 1 species
GACGAACCGUGCGAACGUUAUUCGGAAUCACUGGGCUUAAAGCGCGUGUAGGCGGGACGGCACGUCGGUCGCUGAAAGCCCCCGCUCAACCGGGGAAGUGGCGCCGAUACGACCGCCCUGGAGGGACGUAGGGGGACCUGGAACUUCCGGUGGAGCGGUGAAAUGCGUUGAGAUCGGAAGGAACGCCCGUGGCGAAAGCGAGGUCCUGGACGUUUACUGACGCUGAGACGCGAAAGCCAGGGGAGCGAACGGG